rnacentral:rRNA from 1 species
GAUGAACGCUGGCGGCGUGCCUAAUACAUGCAAGUCGAGCGAACGGACGAUAAGCUUGCUUCUCUGAUGUUAGCGGCGGACGGGUGAGUAACACGUGGAUAACCUACCUAUAAGACUGGGAUAACUUCGGGAAACCGGAGCUAAUACCGGAUAAUAUUUUGUACCGCAUGGUUCAAAAGUGAAAGACGGUCUUGCUGUCACUUAUAGAUGGAUCCGCGCUGCAUUAGCUAGUUGGUAAGGUAACGGCUUACCAAGGCAACGAUGCAUAGCCGACCUGAGAGGAUGAUCGGCCACACUGGAACUGAGACACGGUCCAGACUCCUACGGGAGGCAGCAGUAGGGAAUCUUCGGCAAAGGGCGAAAGCCUGACGGAGCAACGCCGCGUGAGUGAUGAAGGUCUUCGGAUCGUAAAACUCUGUUAUUAGGGAAGAACAUAUGUGUAAGUAACUGUGCACAUCUUGACGGUACCUAAUCAGAAAGCCACGGCUAACUACGUG